UUUUUUUUCCACUAUAGUUAGAAGAUACUGAGUAUAGUUCCCUGUGCUAUAAGCAGCUCCUUUCUCUUUUUUUUUGUUUGUUUGUUUGUUUGUUUUUGGCCAUACCCAUGGCAUGUGGAAAUUCCCGGGCCAGGGAAUGAACCUGUGCUGCAGCAGUGACAAUGCCAGAUCCUUAACCUGCUGAGCCACCAGGGAACUCCUACAGUAGGUCCUUCUUCCUAUUUCUUCUUAAGUGCGUUUCAGUGUCCUCCUAGGAAUCUCCUAGGAACCUGUCCUUUUUACCUGAAUGGUCUAAUUCUCUUCCUUUUGAGGUUAAAUUUCACUAAUAUGGAAUUUAUUUACUUACUUAAUUUUUAAAAUUUUUAUUUUGGUUGUACCCGUGGUAUGCAUGAGUUCCUGGGGCCGGGGAUGGAACCUGUGCCACAGACAUGACCAGAGUCAUAUAGGAGUGACAACACCAGAUCCUUUUUUUUUUUUGGCCUUUUCUAGGGCUGCUCCCACGGCAUAUGGAGGUUCCCAGGCUAGGGGUCCAAUCAGAGCUACAACUGCUGGCCACAGCCACAGCCACAACGCCAGAUCUGAGCCUUGUCUGUGACCUACACCUCAACUCACAGCAACGCCAGAUCCCUGACCCACUGAGCAAGGCCAGGGAUCAAACCCGUAUCCCCAUGGACACUAGUCAGAUUCUUUUCCUCUGCGCCACAAUGGGAAUGCCCUGUUUUUCUUUCUUUCUUUUUUUCAGGGCUGCACCUGCAGCAUAUGGGGAAUAUGCUGGCAAGGGGUCAAAUCGGAGCUGUAGCUGCCAGCCUACGUCACAGCCAUGGCAACCUGGGAUCUGAGCCACACCUGCAACCUACAACACAGCUCACGGCAACACUGGAACCUUAACCCACUGACUGAGGCCAGGGAUCAAACCCACAUCUUCAUGGAUACUAGUUAGGUUCUCAACGCACUGAGCCACAAUGGGGACCCCAAAACUGUUUUCCUGUGAGUCAUUCCAGCAAGCGAUUAAACCUGAGGGUGGGGUUGAGGGGAUCACCCACCCCCGACUUCACAACUGGGUGCAUCAGAAGGACGGGUGGCCUGGACUUGCCCCUGGGUCUGGCAUGGGGGCGUCUGGGGGCAGAGCCCCAAGGCCUGUGAGUCUGAUGCUGACCCUGGAAGGUCGGUGUCAGGACAGGUGGGACUGUGUGACAUGCAGCUGGUGUCAGAGAAUUGGCUGGGAAAAUACCAUACAUUUGCUAUGGAACUGCUGAGGGUAACGCGAUGACAGGCUCGUUAAUGCAGAGCAGACACAUAAAACAAUGGUCCUUUCCCCUCAGAGUUAAUCUCGUUGUGGGAGCAGGACAUGUGCACAGGGAAAAGGAAUCAACACAAGACAAGACGUGAUGCCCGUAGUAGGAGCGUCAAUAAAACCAGGGUCUUGUUUGUGGUCAGGGACAUAAAAGGGCUUCAUAAGAAGCCAGGGCUUGGGAGUUUUGGCAGCAGAAACGAAUCCAACUAGGAACCAUGAGGUUGCGGGUUCAAUUCCCGGCCCUGCUCAGUGGGUUAAGGAUCUGGCAUCACCUUGAGCUGUGGUGUAGGUCGCAGACGCGGCUCGGACCUAGCAUGGCUCUCACGUCAAUGCAGGAUCCUUAACCCACUGAGCGAGGCCAGGGAUCGAACCCGAAACCUCACAGACACUAUGUCAGGUUUUUAACCCACUGAGACACAAUAGGAAUCCAAUAAAUAGGAUUUGAGUAGAAAGAAGGCAAAGACAGGACAUUCCAAAAAUACAUUAUGAACAAAGACCAAGGUGCCGGAGUAAGGAAAAUGUAUUCACGGGGCAAAAAUAACAUUCGCGUGUGGAGACGAGGGUUCUGUUUUGGGACCAGAGGAGCCGAGGAGGCUUUGCAGCCUCAGGCUCAGUGGGAUCAGGACGCACAAGUAGCAGGAUGCCAGGCUGAAAGUUUAGCCUUCAUCUGAUAGGAAAUCGGGAAUCAGCACAUUUUCUUUUUCUUUCUUUCUUUUUUUUUUUUUUUUUUUUUUNCUUUUUAGGGCUGCACUUGCAGCAUAUGGAGAUUCCUAGGCUAGGGGUCUAAUUGGAGCUACAGCUACC
rnacentral:lncRNA from 1 species